rnacentral:rRNA from 1 species
GAUGAACGCUGGCGGCGUGCCUAAUACAUGCAAGUCGAGCGAACAGACGAGGAGCUUGCUGCUCUGACGUUAGCGGCGGACGGGUGAGUAACACGUGGAUAACCUACCUAUAAGACUGGGAUAACUUCGGGAAACCGGAGAUAAUACCGGAUAAUAUUUUGAACCGCAUGGUUCAAUAGUGAAAGACGGUCUUGCUGUCACUUAUAGAUGGAUCCGCGCUGCAUUAGCUAGUUGGUAAGGUAACGGCUUACCAAGGCAACGAUGCGUAGCCGACCUGAGAGGGUGAUCGGCCACACUGGAACUGAGACACGGUCCAGACUCCUACGGGAGGCAGCAGUAGGGAAUCUUCCGCAAAGGGCGAAAGCCUGACGGAGCAACGCCGCGUGAGUGAUGAAGGUCUUCGGAUCGUAAAACUCUGUUAUUAGGGAAGAACAUAUGUGUAAGUAACUGUGCACAUCUUGACGGUACCUAAUCAGAAAGCCACGGCUAACUACGUG